GUGAAACUGCUCAGAGGUAAACAGGUGGGCCCUCGAAAUCCCGUGGCGGGAGGGUUCAGUCGGACGUGGCGGACGCGCGUUUCCCUAGAUUCGGUCUCUCCUAUCCGGGGGCGGUCGUUUCUUCGGGUUUCGCGUUUUUCUUCCUUUCCCGACGCAUUUCCUCCCGUCCGAAUGGACGUCGCGGCCAGUUGGGUCUUAUUAAAAGACGGUUUUAAGGGCGGAUAGAGGCAGGUGACCGGUGGCGAGACUCUUUCGGGGGUUUUUUCGCCGGUUGUUUAGCCAGUUCGCCCGUGACACGUCGCCCGACUGAGGUUAGAGGGGGAUUCGUUCCUCCAUUAAGCCGUCUCCUGCUCAAUGGAGUAGCGGAAGCGUAUAUUAACAGACGUUAUUUGGGCGUUCUAGUCGUCUCACUGGAUCGGACCGUGUGCGUCGCGUCCAAGUCUUUGGUGGUUGGUAACACGUCCGCCGGAGUAGCUCGGUGGCCAGCGGCGAGUAGGUCGGUCACCCACCUGACCCGUCUUGAAACACGGACCAAGGAGUCUAACAUGUGCGCGAGUCAAUGGGACUUGAAUAUGCCUAAAGGCGCAACGAAAGUGAGAGCCGCCCCUUCUCUUUGUAGAGUCGCGGGUGGACAUAUAGUUGGGACUCCCCCAAGUGCAUAGCAGGGGGAAGCACCAACGACCCGUCCUAUCCGAUUUAUCUCGGUUGGGCGGAGUCAGAGCGUACACGUUGGGACCCGAAAGAUGGUGAACUAUGCCUGGGCAGGACGAAGUCAGAGGAAACUCUGGUGGAGGUCCGUAGCGGUUCUGACGUGCAAAUCGAUCGUCAGACCCGGGUAUAGGGGCGAAAGACUAAUCGAACCAUC
rnacentral:rRNA from 1 species